UCUAAUUAAAUCAUAUUUAAAUAGACUUAAUCUCAAUCCAUUGAAUUAAUCAAAUUAAGCCAAUUAGCAAUCAAAUUACUAAUCGAUCCUCCUGCAACACAUGCACUAGGUUAAAUGUCAAUCAUAUUGGUCGUUAAACCCUAGAACGAUUCUUAAUCGUUGAUCAACCAUCCAAUCGGAUCGUGAAAUCUAAUAUGUGUAACCUCAUAGGUUUGAACCUA
rnacentral:lncRNA from 1 species